CACGUAGGGGGCCAGCGUUGUCCGGAAUUACUGGGCGUAAAGCGCACGCAGGCGGUUUGGAAAGCGGCGGGUGCAAUACCGGGGCUCAACUCCGGCACCGCUCGCCGAACUACCAGACUGGAGCACGGGAGAGGGCAGUGGAAUUCCCGGUGUAGCGGUGGAAUGCGUAAAUAUCGGGAGGAACACCAGUGGCGAAGGCUGCUGCCUGGAACGUUGCUGACGCUGAGGUGCGAAAGCCAGGGGAGCGAACGGGAUUAGAUACC
rnacentral:rRNA from 1 species